UACGGGAGGCAGCAGUGGGGAAUAUUGCACAAUGGGCGAAAGCCUGAUGCAGCUAUGCCGCGUGUAUGAAGAAGGCCUUAGGGUUGUAAAGUACUUUCAUCGGGGAGGAAAACAAACUAAUAAUUUUAUUUCUUGACGUUACCCGAAAAAGAAGCACCGGCUAACUCCGUGCCAGCAGCCGCGGUAAUACGGAGGGUGCUAGCGUUAAUCAGAAUUACUGGGCGUAAAGAGCACGUAGGUGGUUUUUUAAGUCAGAUGUGAAAUCCCUGGGCUUAACCUAGGAACUGCAUUUUUGAAACUGAAAUACUAGAGUAUCGUAGAGGGAGGUAGAAUUCUAGGUGUAGCGGUGAAAUGCGUAGAUAUCUGGAGGAAUACCUGUGGCGAAAGCGGCCUCCUAAACGAAUACUGACACUGAGGUGCGAAAGCGUGGGGAGCAAACAGGGAUUAGAUACC
rnacentral:rRNA from 1 species